rnacentral:rRNA from 1 species
CCUACGGGAGGCAGCAGUGAGGAAUAUUGGUCAAUGGGCGCGAGCCUGAACCAGCCAAGUCGCGUGAGGGAGGACGGCCCUACGGGUUGUAAACCUCUUUUGCCGGGGAGCAACGGGCGCCACGUGUGCCGUCACUGAGAGUACCCGGAGAAAAAGCAUCGGCUAACUCCGUGCCAGCAGCCGCGGUAAUACGGAGGAUGCGAGCGUUAUCCGGAUUUAUUGGGUUUAAGGGGUGCGUAGGCGGAUGGUUAAGUCAGUGGUAAAAUUGGCGGGCUCAACCCGUUCGCGCCAUUGAAACUGGCGUUCUUGAGUGGAAGAGAGGUAUGCGGAAUGCGUGGUGUAGCGGUGAAAUGCAUAGAUAUCACGCAGAACUCCGAUUGCGAAGGCAGCAUGCCGGCCUCCGACUGACGCUGAAGCACGAAAGCGUGGGGAUCGAACAGGAUUAGAUACCCCGGUAGUC